GAAACAAGGCAUUUAGGACAAAUCCCAGUGGGAAAGUCGCAAGACUACUAAACCGCCUGACC
rnacentral:ncRNA from 1 species